AACGAACGCUGGCGGCAGGCCUAACACAUGCAAGUCGAGCGGGGGAGCAAUCCCUAGCGGCGGACGGGUGAGUAACGCGUGGGAACGUACCCUUUGCUUCGGAAUAGCCCCCGGGAAACUGGGAGUAAUACCGGAUGUGCCCUACGGGGGAAAGAAUUUCGGCAAAGGAUCGGCCCGCGUUGGAUUAGGUAGUUGGUGGGGUAAUGGCCUACCAAGCCGACGAUCCAUAGCUGGUUUGAGAGGAUGAUCAGCCACACUGGGACUGAGACACGGCCCAGACUCCUACGGGAGGCAGCAGUGGGGAAUCUUAGAUAAUGGGCGCAAGCCUGAUCUAGCCAUGCCGCGUGAGCGAUGAAGGCCUUAGGGUUGUAAAGCUCUUUCGUGGGGGAAGAUAAUGACGGUACCCCAAGAAGAAGCCCCGGCUAACUCCGUGCCAGCAGCCGCGGUAAU
rnacentral:rRNA from 1 species